GUAUAAGUAAUUAUUUUCAUCUUUAGUACACUUUUGUCACACAAAUUCAUACAAAACAACUUUCAGGUUCACAACUCAAGCUAAAGUUAAAUUAAUUGUCGUUGUUUUAAGAUUAUCAAAUUGUGAUUCAAAUACCGGAAGAAAGAAAAACAAAUCUAAGAAACAAUUUCAUGGUGAUACUAUUAACUGUAAAGUACCCAUGAAAAAAAUCUAAAGAAUGCGAUAUCAAAAGUUACUUUAUAUCAAAUAAUACAUUUCAUGCAUAGUAACAUUUGAUCUUAUAAUUACAUGUUUCGGAAUAAUGAGCUUCAUAUCUAUCAUUUCAAGUACAAUUUUUGUUUUUGGAAAUGAAAUUCCAAGUGAUUAGAAAAUAAAACAGAAGCUCAAAAAUGUAUGGAAACGAUGCAUGACGUUCCAAGAUAUUAAUUCCUAAAAUUUAAAGCACACCCUUAAGCAAAUAUCCAGAUUGGCUCCAUAAGUAGAAAAAUAAUUUAAGAGAUUAACAAAAACUUGUACUGCUAAUUGUAGAAGUGCCUGUACACACAACCAUAAAAGUAAAUUUCUUACUCCAACUUAAACUGGUAUUUUAAAAUUGACAUGUACGCCUUUCUUGGAGAAAUAUAAAAAGAGAGGUUAAAAGCUGCUAAAAAAUAGUAAUGUUUCUUUUUUCGAAAUCGCGCAGUAAUGUGCUUUUUCUAUGUUCAAAAAUCGGCACAGAAAUUAAAUGCGGUGUUGUCAUAUUAGUAUUAUCUACCUCCACAAUUACAUUUUACAAGGUUAUAAAUUGUUUUUCGGUUUAGCAGUAAUUCUAUACUCUUUGUUAACCCUUUUUAUUAGUUAUUAGAAACACAUCCGGUUUAUUAAUUUUAUAAAUAUAAUUUAUUAACUAAAUUUGCGCGUAAUCUCGCAACGUCGCAACCUUGCAUGGCAACAGCGGAUUUCUUGAAGUGCAGCGACAUUCUAUGGCAGCGAACAAUGUGUAUCCACAUAACCUGUAAUAAGUUUUUGUUCGGUGCAGAAACAACCAUGGAAAACAUUAUAUGGAGAAUAUCUCAUUUUGCAUACGAGUAUUUCGCUGAAAAAGAAAAUUCUGUGAAAUCAACAUUUUGGGCUACAUAGUCGUUGUUAAAGUCAACUCUGUUAAUAUAAAACAGCAUAGAUAUAAUCUAAGUACACCAAGUUCUCAAGCAAAAAAUAUAGGUUAUGUUUCCCAGAAAUCAAAUAUAUUUACAAGAGAAAACUUACGAAAAUUUUUAACAGAGGCCCGUGAUUAAUGUACCUAAUGUCAAAGGUAUAUUUUUUAUUCGAAGUUGUAGGAGUAUGCGGAAUGGAAGAAUUUGAACAAUUUUCUUGUAUCUACAUAACCUAUAAUAAGCUUUUAUUAUUAUUACAGAACAGAUUAUUAGCUUACAUGCCCAUUUUAAAUGAAAAAAGAUCUGUAGCAAUUGCAAAAUAGAGAUGGAUAGCAAUAAUAACAAGCAGUUUACAUGCAUUCGACCGAACUUGCAAAAACUGGCAGAUAAUAUAUCAAAUUUAUUACCUAAAAACUCAGCCACAGUUUAUGAAAAGCGGUAUGAAUUUUUUUUUGCGCAGAAACAACCAUGCAAAAUAUAUGGAGAACACCUCAUUGCAUACGAGUAUUUCGCUGAAAAAGCAAAUUCUGUGAAAUCUUUAACACUUUGGGCUGCAUAGUCGUAGUUAAAGUCAACUCUGUUAAUAAAAAACAGCAUAGAUAUAUCUAAGUACACCAAGUUUUCAAGCAAAAAAUAUAGGUUACAUUGCCAAGAAAUCAAAUAUAUUUACAAGAGAAGACUUACCAAAAUUUUUAACAGAAGCCCGUGAUUAAAUGUACCUGAUGUUAAAGGUUUAUUUUUUAUUAGAAGUUGUAGGAGCAUGUGGAAUGGAUAAAUUGAAAAAUAAUGACGGCAUUCAAGACAAAAACGAUACGCUAAUAAUUAAAAUUCCAACGUCUAAAACUGGCAAAGCACGAGAAUUUACAAAUAUGUGUAAAAAUAUUUAUCCAAUUGAAAUAUAGUAAAAAUACCUAAUUUUAAGACUGCACCAGACAAAUCAUUAUUUAUACAUUACAUUUGGAUAGUGAAUGCAGCAGCUGCUGCAUUGUACAAAUAUACCUGCAAACACACUGUAACAAAUUAUGCAGACACCUCUUUUGACUAAAAGAUAUAUAUUUAACUUUAUCCAUACGUUGUCAACUUUGUUAAUAAUUGCAAUCUCUAACUUCAUAAGAAAUAUGAAUAAUCUACUUUGGUGUUUUAUAGUAGUAUUAAAUGUUCAUUGAAUAUAAUUGCAUUUACUAC